rnacentral:tRNA from 1 species
ACUUAAAUAGCUUAUUUAGAGUAUAAUUUUGAAGAAAUUAGGGUAAUUUUGAAUUUUUAAGUA